rnacentral:rRNA from 1 species
UGGGGAAUAUUGGACAAUGGGGGAAACCCUGAUCCAGCAAUGCCGCGUGUGUGAAGAAGGCCUUCGGGUUGUAAAGCACUUUAGUUGGGGAGGAAGGUGUGUAUUUUAAGAGAUAACACAUUUGACUGUACCCAAAGAAUAAGCACCGGCUAACUCUGUGCCAGCAGCCGCGGUAAUACAGAGGGUGCGAGCGUUAAUCGGAAUUACUGGGCGUAAAGGGCGCGUAGGCGGUAAAUUAAGUUGGAUGUGAAAUCCCUGGGCUUAACCUAGGAACUGCAUCCAAUACUGGUAUACUAGAGUGCAGUAGAGGGUAGUGGAAUUUCCGGUGUAGCGGUGAAAUGCGUAGAUAUCGGAAGGAACACCAGUGGCGAAGGCGGCUACCUGGACUGACACUGACGCUGAGGCGCGAGAGCGUGGGGAGCAAACAGG